GGAGAAACCGAGAAAGUCGCACUCGCUGUUGCGAAGCAGACACACAACAUGGAUCGGGCAAAUGCAAAUACCCGUGUCGGAACUUCUGGAUUGGGAAUCUGGCUACGGAAGUCCGGUGAUGCCAACCUCCUGCAAACCCCCAGGACCAAGCGCCGAACCUGGGGUGAUAGGGCAUUUUCAGUUGCUGCCCCCUCCCUGUGGAACACACUCCCUAACCACAUCAAAAAAGAUGCCCCCACACUCCCAUCCUUCAUCUUUCCCCAGCUAACCCCCCACCCCCUGUGUUGUUUUUACUGUUUUUACUUUUAGACGCAAUUUCUUUCCUUUCACCUAAUAAAGUUUUAUGUCUCU